AAUAAUGACUUCAGAAGUGGGAAUGAUCAAGUUUCUGAUAGCACAAUAAGGUAGCAUAUAUGGUUUCUCUGAUUAUAGGAAAUAAUCGCAUUAUUGGUGCACGUGUACAGUCACUGACUUAUUUUUAGCUCAACCAAGUUUUACUUGGGCUGAUUUCCAGAUGUGUAAUGCCAAAAGUUUGAGGCCAGUGGGGAUGAAUGAAUGGAAAGUAUGGGCGAGACACAGUACUACUACAAUAGACUAUUUCAAAGCUAUUAUUCCUAAAUACAUUUAAAUGCAUGUUUAUUACAAUGAACGUCACGCUAAAGCAACAUGGGAAGCACCUAGGGCUUGAGGCACAACGGUGUUGGUUUGUAUUUGUGUUGUAGGUUAUGAUGGAAAAUUUUAUAGCCUACAAACCGCAUUCAUGUUUUGACGUUUAACGAAUCAAUGUGCAUGUAGAGGUGAUGAAAUACAAACCUGUUUACCGUUGAUGAGAGAUUUUGCAAUGACAGUUUCUUUCAUGGGUGGAUACUGGAUAAGCGUUCCUCUAUUGAAUUGACUUUUAUUUAUAGAGCACUUUUCACAGUAGACUACAUGUUCAAAAGUAGUUUUGCUAAAAAAAGUGCCUUACAAAGAAGAAAAUGUGUUCGGAAGCAACAACACCACCUUGACCAUUUGGAUAAGAGUCAUGCAUAUAACUAUAACAUGAUAGAGUAGUAUUAACUUGUAUUUGAACUUACUGAAAUUGCAAUUGGUUGCUUGCAUCACCAUUAUGAUAGAAGGGGUAAUUUGUAGGUUUGUGACAGCACCAACUGCUGGUCACAAAUAUUAUAGAAAAUUGAAUGAGUCAUUUUCAAAAAAUGGAAAGCUUAAUGACUCGUACAUUAGAGUUUUGCAAUUGGCGUUGCUGCAGAGUGAACCAGAGUGGAAAGACGGUGAAGACAUACAGACCGAAGCAGAAUCAAAACCAUGAAUGCUGUAAAUUGUGUGCAUCUGUUCAUUGUGGUUUGGACUUUUACUGCAGUCUGUCGAGCUGAUGAUGAUGUCUGCAGUGUAAGCUGUGAGGAUUUGACUGGAACUGUGGGUGAAGAAGUAACUUUCACCUGCAGCGUCUCUCAGAAGUGCUCUGAAAGCUGCAUUAACAUUGUAUAAGUUUUCAAUACCACUGAGAUCUAU